rnacentral:rRNA from 1 species
AUUGACCGCUGGCGGCAGGCUUAACACAUGCAAGCCGAGCGAGCGGCGGACGGGUGAGCAAUGUCUGGGAAACUGCCUGACGGAGGGGGAUAACCACUGGAAACGGUAGCUAAUACCGCAUACCAUCAGAUGUGCCCAGAUGGGCUUAGCUAGUAGGUGGGGUAAUGGUUCUCCUAGGCGACGAUCCCUAGCUGGUCUGAGAGGCUGACCAGCCACACGGGAACUGCGCCACGGUCCCGACUCCUACGGGAGGCAGCGGUGGGAAAUAUUGCGCCAUGGGCGCAAGCCUGAUGCAGCCAGGCCGCGUGUGUGAAGAUGGCCUUCAGGUUGGAAAGCACUUUCAGCGAGGAGGCGUUGCUCGCAGAAGAAGCACCGGCUAACUCCGUGCCAGCCGCCGCGGUAAUUC